UGAGGAAUAUUGGUCAAUGGGCGAGAGCCUGAACCAGCCAAGUAGCGUGCAGGAAGACGGCCCUAUGGGUUGUAAACUGCUUUUAUGUGGGGAUAAAGUGCGUGACGUGUCAUGCAUUGCAGGUACCACAUGAAUAAGGACCGGCUAAUUCCGUGCCAGCAGCCGCGGUAAUACGGAAGGUCCGGGCGUUAUCCGGAUUUAUUGGGUUUAAAGGGAGCGUAGGCUGUCUAUUAAGCGUGUUGUGAAAUAUACCGGCUCAACCGGUGGCUUGCAGCGCGAACUGUGCGACUUGAGUAUGCAGGAAGUAGGCGGAAUUCAUGGUGUAGCGGUGAAAUGCUUAGAUAUCAUGACGAACUCCGAUUGCGCAGGCAGCUUACUGUAGCAUAACUGACGCUGAUGCUCGAAAGUGCGGGUAUCAAACAGG
rnacentral:rRNA from 1 species